rnacentral:tRNA from 1 species
UCCCUGGUGGAUUAGCUGGUAAAGAAUCUGCCUGCAAUGCAGGAGGCCCUGGUUCGAGUCCUAGCUAAGGAA